GACGAACGCUGGCGGCGUGCCUAAUACAUGCAAGUAGAACGCUGAAGAGAGGAGCUUGCUCUUCUUGGAUGAGUUGCGAACGGGUGAGUAACGCGUAGGUAACCUGCCUGGUAGCGGGGGAUAACUAUUGGAAACGAUAGCUAAUACCGCAUAAAAUUGAUUAUUGCAUGAUAAUUAAUUGAAAGAUGCAAUUGCAUCACUACCAGAUGGACCUGCGUUGUAUUAGCUAGUUGGUGAGGUAACGGCUCACCAAGGCGACGAUACAUAGCCGACCUGAGAGGGUGAUCGGCCACACUGGGACUGAGACACGGCCCAGACUCCUACGGGAGGCAGCAGUAGGGGAAUCUUCGGCAAAUGGGGGGAAACCCCUGACCCGAGCAAACGCCCGCGUGAGUGAAAGAAAGGUUUUUCGGAUUCGUAAAAGCUUCUGUUGUAAA
rnacentral:rRNA from 1 species